UAGUAAUCUGCGAAAAGCGUAGGGGAGCUGAUAAACGAGCUUUGAGCCUACGAUAUCCGAAUGGGGCAACCCACAUACUUUAGGGUAUGUAUCGUUAAGUGAAUACAUAGCUUAACGAGGCGAACCCAGCGAACUGAAACAUCUAAGUAGCCGGAGGAAAAGAAAUCAACCGAGAUUUCCCUAGUAGCGGCGAGCGAACGGGAAACAGCCUGCAAGUAAUAUUUAACGUUUUAGUGGAACAAGCUGGAAAGCUUA
rnacentral:rRNA from 1 species